GACGAACGCUGGCGGCGUGCUUAACACAUGCAAGUCGAACGGAAAGGCCCCUUUGGGGGUACUCGAGUGGCGAACGGGUGAGUAACACGUGAGUAACCUGCCCUUGACUUCGGGAUAACUUCAGGAAACUGGGGCUAAUACCGGAUAGGAAUCCUUGCUGCAUGGUGGGGGUUGGAAAGCUUCGGCGGUUUUGGAUGGACUCGCGGCUUAUCAGCUUGUUGGUGGGGUAGGGGCUUACCAAGGCUUUGACGGGUAGCCGGCCUGAGAGGGCGACCGGCCACAUUGGGACUGAGAGACGGCCCAGACUCCUACGGGAGGCAGCAGUGGGGAAUAUUGCACAAUGGGCGGAAGCCUGAUGCAGCAACGCCGCGUGCGGGAUGACGGCCUUCGGGUUGUAAACCGCUUUCAGCAGGGGCGAAGCUUGUGGUGACGGUACCUGCAGAAGAAGCACCGGCUAACUACGUG
rnacentral:rRNA from 1 species